AGUGAACGCUGGCGGUAGGCCUAACACAUGCAAGUCGAACGGCAGCACAGUAAGAGCUUGCUCUUACGGGUGGCGAGUGGCGGACGGGUGAGGAAUACAUCGGAAUCUACUUUUUCGUGGGGGAUAACGUAGGGAAACUUACGCUAAUACCGCAUGCGACCUACGGGUGAAAGCAGGGGAUCUUCGGACCUUGCGCGAUUGAAUGAGCCGAUGUCGGAUUAGCUAGUUGGCGGGGUAAAGGCCCACCAAGGCGACGAUCCGUAGCUGGUCUGAGAGGAUGAUCAGCCACACUGGAACUGAGACACGGUCCAGACCCCUACGGGAGGCAGCAGUGGGGAAUAUUGGACAAUGGGCGCAAGCCUGAUCCAGCCAUACCGCGUGGGUGAAGAAGGCCUUCGGGUUGUAAAGCCCUUUUGUUGGGAAAGAAAAGCAGCAGGUUAAUACCCCGCUGUUCUGACGGUACCCAAAGAAUAAGCACCGGCUAACUGCGU
rnacentral:rRNA from 1 species